UCAAGUUUCCCUAUUUAAGCCCAAUUUCACCUGGCUAAAUGCAUUAGUUAACCGGAGACAUGCAGCCUGUAUACAACUUGGUUUUACUUGGCAUUAUUUGCCUGAUGGUUUUAGGUCUGGCCCUUGCAGUGCCGGCUCAGCACGGCCCGAAAACUAAAGAGACUCAAUUUUCGCGAAGUUGGGGUUGGCCUCCCUUUGCAUUUGAUCCCGAUGACUAUUAUUAUUAUUAUUAUUAUUAGUCUUUGGUUUUUUUCCAAAUUUAUUUUGAAGCCUUCAAAGGAGGUGAAAUCCUUUGCAAUUGGAAAACUUUAAACCAUAUUGGAAAUAUUAUAUAUUGUUUAAAUAAAUAUGCAAUUAUAAGGGGCCUAUAAAAGUUACCCUUUUUGAAUUUUGAAUUGUUAUAUGUGCAAGUAAAUAAAAUUUAACUACAAAA